UACGGGGGGGGCAAGCGUUGUUCGGAAUUACUGGGCGUAAAGGGCUCGUAGGCGGCCAACUAAGUCAGACGUGAAAUCCCUCGGCUUAACCGGGGAACUGCGUCUGAUACUGGAUGGCUCGAGAUCGGGAGAGGGAUGCGGAAUUCCAGGUGUAGCGGUGAAAUGCGUAGAUAUCUGGAGGAACACCGGUGGCGAAGGCGGCAUCCUGGACCGACACUGACGCUGAGGAGCGAAAGCCAGGGGAGCAAACGGG
rnacentral:rRNA from 1 species